UAAACUCUAUCAAAUAAAAUAUACUAAACAUCUUCUAUUUAUUCAUCUUGCCCUUGCCUUUGCUCGUUGAUGGGUCCUCAGGUUUUCUCAAUCUUAGCUGUAAUGUUUUAUGCAAGGGUGAGCAAAUAAUUGCCCACAAAUAUAGUAAAAAUAAUAAUAGCAUAUAUAUAAAUAGUUAAUAGUUAAUGAAUUAAACUCACCUGAAUAAUGUAAUCUUUCCUGUC
rnacentral:lncRNA from 1 species